GAGAGUUUGAUUCUGGCUCAGGAUGAAUGCUGGCGGCGUGGAUAAGGCAUGCAAGUCGAACGGUGCAGGGUAGCAAUACUUUGCAUAGUGGCGAACGAGUUAGUAACACCUUGGUACAUACCUCGAAGUCGGGCACAACUAGUCGAAAGAUUAGCUAAUUCCCGAUAGUCCCGAAAGGGUAAAGUCGCAAGACGCUUUGAGAGUGGCCUAGGUCCUAUCAGCUUGUUGGCGGGGUAAAAGCCCACCAAGGCUAUGACGGGUAGGGGGCGUGAGAGCGCGACCCUCAACGACGAAACUGAGAUACGGUUCGUACACCUACGGGUGGCAGCAGUCGAGAAUAUUCGACAAUGGGCGAAAGCCUGAUCGAGCGACGCCGCGUGCGGGAAGAAGUCCUUAGGGAUGUAAACCGCUUUUGUUAGGGAAGAAUUUUGACGGUACCUGACGAAUAAGGGGUUGCUAACUCUGUGCCAGCAGCAGCGGUAAUACAGAGACCCCGAGCAUUAUCCGGAAUUACUGGGCGUAAAGAGCGAGUAGCCGGUUGUAUUAGUCUGAUGUUAAAUCCCAAGGCUUAACUUUGGGACCGCGUCGCAAACGGUACGACUAGAGCAGCUGAGAGGUAAGCGGAACGUGCAGUGUAGGGGUGAAAUCCAUUGAUAUUGCACGGAACACC
rnacentral:rRNA from 1 species